rnacentral:rRNA from 1 species
AUUGAACGCUGGCGGCAUGCUUUACACAUGCAAGUCGAACGGCAGCACAGGGAGCUUGCUCCUGGGUGGCGAGUGGCGAACGGGUGAGUAAUGUAUCGGAACGUGCCUGGUAGUGGGGGAUAACUACUCGAAAGAGUGGCUAAUACCGCAUGAGAUCUUUGGAUGAAAGCGGGGGACCUUCGGGCCUCGUGCUACUGGAGCGGCCGAUAUCGGAUUAGGUUGUUGGUGGGGUAAAGGCCUACCAAGCCUGCGAUCUGUAGCUGGUCUGAGAGGACGACCAGCCACACUGGGACUGAGACACGGCCCAGACUCCUACGGGAGGCAGCAGUGGGGAAUUUUGGACAAUGGGCGCAAGCCUGAUCCAGCAAUGCCGCGUGCAGGACGAAGGCCUUCGGGUUGUAAACUGCUUUUGUACAGAACGAAAAGUCUCUGGCUAAUAUCUAGAGAUCAUGACGGUACUGUAAGAAUAAGCACCGGCUAACUACGUG